AGAAGUAAAAGUCGUAACAAGGUUUUGCUAAGCAAACAGUCCUUCUGUAGCAGAGCUUAACGGAGACCUUGCACCCGAGAGGGGGGAGGCGACUAUAAACAAGUCCCAGUGCAAGUCAGCGCCACUGGCAACACAAUCGAAUUGCGGGGACGCUUUAAAGCUCAGUGGUACCAACCCUCCGGAUGCCGGAGGGGGCGGGCAAUGCCCGAGGUCAGAACCCACCGAGAUAUACAAUAAGCAAUCCGCAGCGGUCCGUUUGGACCGUCCACAGACUAAGUGGUUGUGGGGAGCCCUGGCUCCUUAAGAUAUAGUCGGGCCCGGUGAGCAGUCACCGGGGGUUCUGCGUCCGUAGGUGAACCUGCGGAAGGAUCAUUACAAGUGAGGCUACCGAACGUUGGAAACAGCGGUUAGGAGCUUACACCCACCCGUGUUUACAUACUAUUGUUGCUUUGGCGGGCCGUGGCCUCCACUGCGGGCUCUGCUCGUGUGUGCCCGCCAGAGAACCAAACUCUGAAUGUUAGUGAUGUCUGAGUACUAUCUAAUAGUUAAAACUUUCAACAACGGAUCUCUUGGUUCUGGCAUCGAUGAAGAACGCAGCGAAAUGCGAUAAGUAAUGUGAAUUGCAGAAUUCAGUGAAUCAUCGAAUCUUUGAACGCACAUUGCGCCCUGUGGUAUUCCGCAGGGCAUGCCUGUUCGAGCGUCAUUUAACCACUCACGCCUGGCGUGGUGUUGGGGCACGCGGUCUCCGCGGCCCUCAAAAUUAGUGGCGGUGCCGGUGGGCUCUAAGCGUAGUACAUACUCCCGCUAUAGAGUUCCCCCGGUGGCUCGCCAGAACCCCCAAUUUUUUACAGGUUGACCUCGGAUCAGGUAGGGAUACCCGCUGAACUUAAGCAUACAAAA
rnacentral:rRNA from 1 species